rnacentral:lncRNA from 1 species
AGCACUUAUUAUUUUCAUUUUCUUUUCUUUUCAUAGGCACCGAGUUCCUUACAUCCCAAGAUCAUGAUCAGGAAAAGCAAAACAUUCACCAGAAACUGGGCCAGUGGAAGGUUGGACUAAACUCCCUGUGCCUCUCUUGCCCCUGGCUGUACUUACAAGGGUACUGGAAGCUCGACAGUGGAAACUGUUACUUCUUCUCCAAAUAUAAAAAGAACUGGGUGGAAUCUGUCAAGGCCUGCACGUACAUGGGGGCACAACCAGUGGUCAUAAAAAGUAAUGAGGAGCAGGUAUGUUGAGCUGGGCUUUUCUAUUCUAUGGUCGUGAUUCUAGUUAGAUGGGAUCCUUCUUACAAAUUAUUUUUACUAUACUUGAAUAGGUGAGAAUUGUACAUUCAGAUAAAUACAAAGUGGUACCAUGGAUAUAUGAAUUAAGGAAUAAUUAAUAUGUAGGAAUCUUUUGGAGUGCUGAACAGAGUUUAACAAGCAUUUACAUUCGUGUUCAAUGCCCUGAUUUGGGGCUCCAGGAUGUCUUGAUGGGUAAAAGUGCUCGCUGUGAAGCACAGGGAUCUGGGAUCCACACAAUAAAAACAGAGUUAAUUGUUAGAAGUUGGCC